UCUUCGCUAGUAUAUCGGUUAGUACACGCGCCUGUCAUUACGAUUCGUGCGCGCGAAAGCUGGGUUCGACUCCCAGGCGAAGAG